AGAGUGCUUGCCCAUUCCAUGAUCGGUGGUUUUUGAGCGCACCUGCCCACACUGUGCUGAGUAUUCAGCAGUUUUGGACCCCAAAUGGCGUGACCCCUGUGCCCCCCCUUCCUAUUCACCUGAUCUCUCUCCGAAUGACUUCUUUUUGUUUUCCCGGAAGAAAAAACCCUCAAAGGGAAACGAUUUGCCGAUGUGGAAUACAUGAAACAAAAAAUGGCAGGAGUACUAAAAGGCAUCUGAACGGACGAGUUCAAAGACUGUUUUGAGAUGUGGAAACAGCAUCUCAGUAAGUGUAUUGCAUCAAACAGAGAGUCCUUUGAAGAAUAACUGCAAGCGAAGGAAGAAAAGCUUUGUGUCCCCUCUGCCAGUUGGUGUUUGUCAAAGGACAGUGGAAGAAGAGAGACAACGUGCCUGGAUAUGUGUGUUAGUCAAGAGUCUUCAGACCCGGCCUCCAAAAGGAAGCGCUAAAACAGUGCUUGUGAUGAGACUUUUCUCACAGUUGAUGUAGUCUAAAGGUUGGCAAACAGGGUCCAAUCGGGCCACAGCUGACCUGCUGCCUGUUUUUGUAAAGAAAGUUCUGUUGGAGCACAGACACACCCAUUUUUUUAUGCAUCGUCUGCAGCCACUUUCACGCUACAACAUCGUGUGGUUGUGACCACGACCAUGCGGUCUAUGAAGCCUAAAAUUCUUCCUAUCUGGCUCUUUACGCAAAGUUUACUGACUCCCAGCGUUCUCCAUCCAGUUCACUGUGUAUUUACCGCAUACCUACCCCGUGUGGGGAAAUAAAUGGUGCGGGUCUUUUUACGGUAGUACUUCUUUGAAGAAAUGCUCAGGGCCUUUGGUGAUGUACUGAUUUUAUGAGUGUUCAGAGCAGGUGUGUGGAUGGCAGGAGGCAAGAGGGAUUUAGGGCAGGAGGUCUUGGUUAGAGAAAAGAUUCUGCCACGAUGGCCUCAGUGGCAAGUCAUUAAUUAUGGCCACCUCUUCCUCUGCUUGCUACCUAGAAAGGAAGGUGUAGACAUGGCUGGAACUUCUGGCUUGGAGUGCACCUUUGUUACCUUUAUUAACAGCACCGAGACAUUAUGGUCAAUACAGUAGGCGCCUGCUUCCAAGACAAAAGAUGGGCACCCAGUUGGUGGGUGGGAGAAUCAGGUAAGGGAGUGUGAGCCCAAGUGUUUUCUAAGCCAUAAGGUACUGAAUUUGUGGUGUAGAUAUUAUGUAUAAAGACAUUAGAAUACAUCAUUAUCCCUAUUUGACAUGUGAGGAAAUGAGAUUUCGAUAGCAUGCCCAAGAUCAGAAGUAAGCCAGCAGAAGAUCUGGAGCGAGGUCUCCUGGCUUUAAGUCACUCCUCUUUUGAGUACACCAUGAUGCUUCUUUACAGCAUGUGUCUUUUCAUGGUUUCAGAGACGUUCAGACCUUUAGUUCAUUUGUACAUUCAUUCAUUUGCUAUUCAGCAUCAUUAUUUUGAAAAUUAAUUAAAUUUUAUUUUAGAUUCAAGGAGAUUAUUUAUUUUAGAUGCGCAGGUUUGUUACGUAGGCAUAUUGCAUGAUAGCGAGGUUUGGGCUUCUAAUGAACCUCUCCCCCACGGUGAGCAUGGUACUCGGAGGGUAGUUUUUCAGCUCUUAUUAUCCCUCUCUCUCUCUCCACCCUUUGGCAGACCCCAGUGUCUGUUGUUCCUGUCCUUGAGCCCGUGUGUGUCCAGUGUUUAGUUCCCACUUACGAGUGAUACCGUGAAGUAUUCAGUUUUCUGUUUCUGUGAUAAUUCACUUCGAAUUAUGGCUUCCAACUCCAUCCCUGUUGCUACAAAUGACAUGAUUUCCUUCUUUUUUGUGGCCGUAUCAUAUUAAAUGGUUAUAUAUAAACAUGCCGCACUUUAUUCAGUCCACCACUGAUUGGCACCUAGACUAGUUCCAUGUUUUUGCUAUUGUGCUCUUCAACAUUAUUCAAGAGUCUGCUAUGAGCUGGAAAAAGAUGAUUUUUUUUCCGGGGAGAGUGAGAGAUGAGUUGGAAGAUUCUUCAAUCACUUUGUUCUUGGAGUUCUGUGGCUGGAAUCCUCCAGAAGUGCAUAGGUCCUCCUCCUACUUUUCCCUGAGUGGUCCCAAAAGUUGGCUCUUAUUUGUGAUCUGGAGAAAGAGAGAGUAGGUGAACUGGACGAGGGAGAGCAAUCCUGUUUUUCCAAAGAAUGCUGCCUGACACCUUAUUUUAUGUCGUGUGCGUGUGCAUGUGUCUAUGCCUGUGUACAGAACAGGAAAGAAAGAGAAAGAGAAGAACCACACGCUGAGAGCAGAUUGUACUAGCAACUAAAAGAUGAAGACAGCCUAGGCUUGGGAGAUUUGAAAGUUAAGAUUUUGCAUGUAAAAUCAAAGAGAAUCGAUAUCAGAGAAAUCUCAAAUACGGCUUGUCCAGCUAAAUGACAUGUAUUAAACAUGGGUGUGCCUUAUUUUACCAUGCUGUUAAAUACAGUCUUUACUUGGAUUAUAUUUAUUCCAUGUCUUGUCUUGUAAUUUCUGAGAUGAUGGUGAUCGAAUGUGCCUGAGGAAGCAGGUUCCACCAAAAUCUUGAAUUUACCUUUUCAUGGUAAGAGAAGUGAAGUUCUUGAAGGUUUUCUGUUUUUGAUAUUUGCCCUUUUAACAGGGGAAACUUGCCAAUCUUUUUUAUUGUAUUCAAAGUUACUGGAUCCUUGUUCUCUUCAGAUUAAUCUGUGAUCCUGAAAGGCAUGUGAGUCUCUGCAAUAAAGGUGCCAGUGAAGUUGUCCAAUGAAAAAACCAACCUUCCAGAAUCUUCCAUCAUGUAGUUGUUGCCUGCAGACGGAGCUCUUAGUGGUACAGUAGAAAGUUCUGCCCAGUUCGCCCUGUUUCCACCACAAAAGACAGCCACACCCUGCUGACUGAAUUUGGAGGUGGUGAGAUCUAAUUCUUUGAUGCAUCUGUGAAACUGUGUUACUUCUCAGAUUGUCCCAGGACCUAGGACGCUGCUGUUUGAAGAAAUAUAAUUUAUUUGGGCACCCAAAAGGCAAAUUCAGAGCAGGACUUAGUGCUGUUACAGAAAACAUUUCAUUUGUAAUAAAUUUGUAAGCAUUAAUUUAU